GAUGAAGAACGCAGCGAAAUGCGAUAAGUAGUGUGAAUUGCAGAAUUCAGUGAAUCAUCGAAUCUUUGAACGCACAUUGCGCCCGCCAGUAUUCUGGCGGGCAUGCCUGUUCGAGCGUCAUUUCAACCAUCAAGCCCCCGGCUUGUGUUGGGGACCUGCGGCUGCCGCAGGCCCUGAAAACCAGUGGCGGGCUCGCUAGUCACUCCGAGCGUAGUAAUACAUCUCGCUCAGGGCGUGCUGCGGGUUCCGGCCGUUAAAAGCCUUAUUUACCCAAGGUUGACCUCGGAUCAGGUAGGAAGACCCGCUGAACUUAAGCAUAUCAAUAAGCGGAGGA
rnacentral:misc_RNA from 1 species